GACGAACGCUGGCGGCGUGCCUAAUACAUGCAAGUCGAGCGCAGGAAGCCGUCUGAACCCUUUGGGGGGACGACGGCGGAAUGAGCGGCGGACGGGUGAGUAACACGUAAAGAACCUGCCCAUAGGUCUGGGAUAACCACGAGAAAUCGGGGCUAAUACCGGAUGUGUCAUCGGACCGCAUGGUCCGCUGAUGAGAGGCGCUCCGGCGGUGCCCAUGGAUGGCUUUGCGGUGCAUUAGCUAGUUGGGGGGGUAACGGCCCACCAAGGCGACGAUGCAUAGCCGACCUGAGAGGGUGAUCGGCCACACUGGGACUGAGACACGGCCCAGACUCCUACGGGAGGCAGCAGUAGGGAAUCUUCCACAAUGGACGAAAGUCUGAUGGAGCAACGCCGCGUGAACGAUGAAGGCUUUCGGGUCGUAAAGUUCUGUUGUAAGGGAAGAACAAGUGCCGCAGGCAAUGGCGGCACCUUGACGGUACCUUGCGAGAAAGCCACGGCUAACUACGUGCCAGCAGCCGCCGUAA
rnacentral:rRNA from 1 species